rnacentral:rRNA from 1 species
AACGAACGCUGGCGGCAGGCCUAACACAUGCAAGUCGAGCGAGUACUUCGGUCUUAGCGGCGGACGGGUGAGUAACGCGUGGGAACGUGCCCUUUGCUUCGCAAUAGCCCUGGGAAACUGGGAGUAAUACCGGAUGAGCUCUUUGGGGGAAAGAUUGAUCGGCGAAGGAUCGGCUCGCGUUGGAUUAGGUGGUUGGUGGGGUAAUGGCCUAUCAAGGCGUGGAUGCAUAGCUGGUUUGGGAGGAUGAUCAGCCACACUGGGAGUGAGACACGGCCGAGAAUCCUACGGGAGGGAGGAGAGGGGAAUCUUAGACAACGGGGGAAGACAUGAUCUAGCCAUGAGGGGUGAGCGAUGAAGGCCGUAGGGAUGUAAAGCACUUUCAGAUGGGAAGAUAAUGACGGUACCAGCAGAAGAAGCACCGGCUAACUCCGUG